rnacentral:misc_RNA from 1 species
GAUGGAUUGCGGGAAGAGUUAGAGGUUUUUUAUAUAAUUUUCUUGGCUUCUAUUUUACUUUACUAUUUUAUAUAUCUUCUUCUGUUUCUUGUCAACUUUUUUAUUUGUUUGUUUAUUAUUUAUUUGGCCUGUUGGGUGGCCUAAUAGGCCUAGUUGAGAACAUAUUCUUAAUUCAAAAAUAGAUAACUAGUCACCUAAUAUUUUAUUUUAUGG